CAGGCUGUUUUGCUGGAAGAGUUUCGAACUUUUAAGGACAAGUCCAAGGCCAUUAAUAAAAGUACUGGUGUCAGCGAAAGGCUUACUGAUAUGAUCAUGAACUGUCGCUUCCCUGAACAGAAAAUUGCUGUUGGAAAGCUUGAAUAUAAAAGAAUUAUUGAAGAGAGAAUGAAUAUAGACUGGCUGUAUACUACAGCUGUAAUGGAGGUAAUGUGGGGCAUACAGCAUUGCAUGCGAAGUUUGCUGCCUCAAGAAAAAUCACAGCUGGCUGCAGCGGACCGUCUCCCAAUGAGUCUAGGACGUGUAUUGAAUCGUUAUUGUUGUGAUGUCAAAACAGAUAUGGUCAAUGAGCAAAUUGCUGCGACAGCUUCUGCGUUGUUUCACUGUGAUUCUGUUGAGAAGAAAUAUUCUGGAGCCUUGCGCCGUGCAGGUGACCUCAUUAAGGAUGUCUCUGGCAUCAACUGCGAGGGUUGGACGUUACUGAAAAUUGCAACAGCUCUGAAGAUGAUAUGGUGGCCUGAAUUUGGCGACUCCUGUGAGGUA
rnacentral:rRNA from 1 species